rnacentral:rRNA from 1 species
CCUACGGGAGGCAGCAGUGGGGAAUAUUGGACAAUGGGGGGAACCCUGAUCCAGCGACGCCGCGUGAGUGAAGAAGUAUUUCGGUAUGUAAAGCUCUAUCAGCAGGGAAGAAAGAAAUGACGGUACCUGACUAAGAAGCCCCGGCUAACUACGUGCCAGCAGCCGCGGUAAUACGUAGGGGGCAAGCGUUAUCCGGAUUUACUGGGUGUAAAGGGAGCGUAGACGGUUACGCAAGUCUGGAGUGAAAGGCGGGGGCCCAACCCCCGGACUGCUUUGGAAACUGUAUAACUGGAGUGCAGGAGAGGUAAGUGGAAUUCCUGGUGUAGCGGUUAAGUGCGUAGAUAUUAGGAGGAACACCAGUGGCGAGGGCGGCUUACUGGACUGUAACUGACGUUGAGGCUCGAACGCGUGGGGCGCAAACAGGAUUGGUUACCCCUGUCGU